rnacentral:lncRNA from 1 species
AUGAAAUGCCGGCAUAUAUAUAUUUUCAACAUUUGACAUAACCCUGUAUGUUUUGCAGGGACAACCCAGGACGUGCAUUUCUCAGCACCCAGUCAACUGCCAAAAGUGACUCAAACACAGGCCACCAGUGGAACUCGGCUGUACCACUGCAGUGCUGUGGAAAUUGCCUUCACCAGCGGCUUUGCAACAGCUGUUUCGCAGCAUGUCGGAGACAAUGCCUACGAAAUUAUUGGCCCUGAUCAUGAGAGCCCUCAAGGGGCAAACAACAUCUCUGUUGCAGAAGUGAGCCCGAUACCACUUGGAAGUUACCAUGACAGAUGACACGGCAGCAAUAGAUACAGAGACUGCCAUGUCUACUGCAGCUGCAACAGUGUACGAGGCAAGCAGCAGCGCGUCAGCAUCAGCAGCAGUGUCAGAAGGAACCACACCAGGCCUGGUAGAGCAACAUGUGUGCUAUCACUGACUUUUUUUGUAGUGGAUACAACUCAUUUGCUCAACAUACAAAAGCUUUUCACCACGACUGUGAGCCAGUGUUAUUGUGCAGCAAGUGCAAGACUAAGUUAGGUGUUAUAACACAGUACAAGCAUCACUUUAAUAUAUGCAAAUGCAAACAGAUUACAGUUGUUGCCUCCCCAGCCAGCCCACAUAGUGACAACAACGUGGAACACAUGGUGGGACACACCUCUCUCCUAUUACAAGAUAGUAGAGACUGUCAGUGUUGUUGCUAGAUUGACUGGUCUUUGUAGGCAACUAGAAGGACAACACAGGUGUCAUAAGAUUGUUGUUGAUGUUGUUGUUGAAGAGGUAAAAAAGAAGUUUGAUGCAGCUGAAGUGCCAACUGAUAUUGAGCAAAUCAAAGGCAACCACCUGAGAAAGCAACACUCGAAAUUUGGGUAUCUAUGUGCCGCCAACUCUGGUAAGAAUGGCAUAGGACAGAAGUGUGACGAAAAUCACACAGACACUGCUGUUGCAUCACUGGCCACAGUGAGCAGCGACUUGUAGGGCAAGAGAGUCAACUGAAACUAACAUUAUGAUAUAGUGUCAUGCUCCCAUGUGACCACUUUUCAAGUUAUUUUGCAAGAUACAGCUCAACCUCCAGAAACGAGACUGCAACUUGUCUGUAAAAAAGCUUUCACAAAAAAUUAUUCAUAACACUAUUAACAUAGCAGUAUCUUUUUUUUUGUGUCGGUUCGAGGUUCCCGGCUGUCCAUUAAUGCAAAAAUUGAGGAAAUAAAGAACAUGUGUCGUACUUACACCUUUUUAACAAGUACGAGGGGGACAGAACUUUUCUAGUCAUGCAUCUUCAUCAUACUAUCAAGUUUUUAAAUGCCUUUUAUAAUUAUUAUUACCAGUUAUAUCUGAGUGCAUUGUAUGCAUGUAGCAGGUGUAAAAUCAGGUCAGUUGGAUCAGAUGCCUUAUCUGCAAGCGAGCCCUAUAUUCAAGAAAUUUGAAUUAACAUAGUUACGUUAGAGACGCAGUCUUUCAGCACUUUAUAGCCUGUGGUUUAAGCAUUGCUCAAUACUUUUGUGGGUGGCAAUUUCAACCGGCACAGCACUGCGCUUUGCCACAGUCACAUUUGUCUUCAAAGCGGUGUUUACCAUUUGUGUUGAUCUCUUUGUGUAUGCAUAGAGCAAGUUCUUAAUUUAUAUUUUUCUGCAUUCUUGUGCUUGCACUAAGCUUGUAUAAGGCAGUUACAAAAUGUGCGUCACUAUAACGAACUGUUCUGUUGAGCUUACACUUGCAAAUAAUCGUGUUCAGAUGGCCGCACUUCUAUGCGGGUGCACCGCUAGCUUUGUGUAUGUUCUCAUGUUUGUAUAAAGCUUAUAUAAGCUAGUUAGAAAAUGUACGUCACUAAGCGCUGUGAUAUUUUUUAAAGAACUGCUUUGUUGGUUUUACACCUGUGAGUAAUAGUACUCGGGUGGCACUAGUCAUGUGUAGGUACACAGGGACCAUUUGUAUACAUUAUGCUCAUGUAAAGCAGUUACAAAGUGUAUGUCACUAAUUACUGUGAUAUUUGUUGAAUUGCUGUGAUGGUUUUACACAUGUGAAUAAUAGUGGUCAGGACACAGUACUUGCGGUGUAUAGUUGAAUUUAUACACUGCCAAGACAUGGGCUGUAUACGUACCAAAAGAAAUGUAUGUCAUUAUAUUGUUGUGAUUAUUACUGUUUGGAUUUUAUUAAACUGUAAUAAAAUUGUUUCUUGUAUCUAUUGAGGUAUGGCAAUUUGUCAUGCAACCAAACUGAGGACCUGAACUUGUGCAUACAAAUAAACAGCUAAUUUAAGAGUAUACUGCUCAUAUUCUGCUAAACCAGUUUAACAAAUCUUGUACUACAAUGCUGGAAAAAUGACAGAGCUGACUCGGAUGUACAGAAAAAGUUCUGCACUGGCUGAAGGACUGCCCCACACUGGAGUUCGUAAUGUU